rnacentral:lncRNA from 1 species
GUGACCUGCGCGUCAGGAUUUGCCAAGCUUCUCAGCAGUUCUAAUAUCCAGCCAAGGCUGAGAACCGCAGCCUGCUCUCCACCUGCGGCCCUCACUCCUUCCUGCCUUGGGAGGGAGGCUGAAUGGUCAGAUUGGCUCCACUCACUUCACAAAACCUGGAAGGCAGAAUAAGAAGAUGAAAGGAUGCGGCCAGGCACGGUGACUCCUGCCUGUAAUUCCAGCACUUUGGGAGGCCGAGGUGGGCAGAUCACCUGAGCUCAGGAGUUCGAGACCAGCCUGGCCAACAUGGUGAAACCCCAUCUCUACUAAAAAUACAAAAAUUAGCCAGGCUUAGUGGUGAGCUCCUGUAAUCCCAGCUACUCGGGAGGCUGAGGCAGGAGAAUCCCUUGAACCCAGGAGGUGGAGGCUGCGGUAAGCCAAGAUCACACCAUUGCACUCCAGCCUGGACAACAAGAGCGAGACUCCAUCUCAAAAAAAAAAAAAAAAAAAAAAAAAAGACAAAAGGAUGCAACCAGCAAUUGCCACUCAGCCUACUUCAUAUCAAAGAUGAGCUUUAUACAAACACCUAUCCAACGAAUCAGACACAACUUCAAGUUUCUAUUUUGCCACCUCUUCAUCAUGAUGACAGAAUUCCAAGUCUCUUUCCUGUAUGAACGAUUAGGAAUCAGAGGUUAGAACUCAAAUCUAAGCAUAUUCUCAAUUCUUAACCCAUAGAGCAUCAUAAGCUUUUCACUGCUCAAAGAGUGAAUUUUGAUUACUUUUUCCUGACAAAUGUAUCCUGGAAUCCCAGGCAGCAAGUGCCUAACGCAGAUAUGCUUGGAACCCUAAAGUAACAGGAUAUGUUUAACAUGCCAUCCUGCUGGCCUUAUUAUUAAAGGAAGCAGCCUCCUGUGGCCCUGUUCUUUGUACUAAAAUGCCUUCACUGUAUAGCUCUGGAGAUGAUGCCUCCUGAUCUAUGACACCGGACUUCCCGUCUCCAGAGACACUGCUCUCCAUGAGCCCACAAAUGUGGGUGCUUGGUCUCUAGAUGAGACAGAUGAGCAGUUUGUAGCCUGGACAGGGAACGAGUGCUGGGUGGUGACCUUCCCUUCCAGCCUAAGCCAACACACCCUGGCUCUUGAGAUGUGAACCACUUGUUAAGGGAGUUAAAUGGCCUGAGCUCCGGAUGGGUGGCCCUGGACAACUAGAGAGGCAACCCUGUGUUGUAAGAGACAUCAAGCUGUGACAACAUGAAACGAGUUCGCCACUCAAAAGCAGUAUAGCAGCCUUUAGUUCCUGGGAAAAUGAGACCAUGUCCUCCAUGCAGAAUCAGCAUGAUAAAAGCACUUGUCUUAUUAGGUGGGAAGAUGACCAGAUAGCCUCAAAUUACUUCCCCAGUUCCAGGAUUCUACCUACAAAUAGAGGAUGCCCCACACAUUCAAGGAGCUGAAAUGUUUAACAUCAGAGAAAUAAGCCUCAAGAGAGAUGGGCAGACAUGACCGCUGCAGUCAGACUCUAUGAAUUAAAGAAAAGCAAACCAACACACAUGCAAACACGUGAGCAAGGAAGACUGUUUCCCCAAUGCUCUUGCACGUUUUCUACUGUGACACUUUCGGGGGUUUUCAACCCUCUUUUCGCAUUUUUGGAUACCCAUAGUAAGCAAUAAGACAGCGAAAAGAAAAGAUCAAUGCUUCACGGAGCUGAGUUAAAACUAGCAAAGUAAAAAACGUCAAGACAAAUUUCACCUACCAGCAUGCUGUGAGGGCUAGAGAGUAUUGUGGGAUUGUACAAGAUUUGGGAGAACCAGACAGAUGACUUUUUGUUUUGAUGUCUUUAAAGUAUUUAUCUUGAAGAGGAAAAGAAAACAAAUGUCUUAGUAUGUUACAAUUUUUGGCUGUAUUAAAGAUCCAGCGAAAUGAGAGAAUUCAAAUGUGAACCACAAAAAAAUCUUUCUUCAUAAAGGGAGAGGUAAAAGAGUAGAAAGUUAAUCAAUUUGGAAUUUUUCUCUCUCUAAUUCAAAACACGUUUCUCUAAAAAUGUUCCUAUGUCUGAAAAAUACAUAUCACUACUUUUCUAAAUUUAAAAAUGCUGGUUUAAAAAGUAAAGGGGCACAGUUAAGCUAUGUAUUUAUUAAAUAUAUAUGAAUCUGACUGCUUGCUAGAUCAUUUAUUACAUAUAAAGUUCCAAUUUGGGAAAUUCUUAUAAGUUUAAUUAGGUCUUUUUAAUAAAAAACUAAUUUUAUUAAAACCUUAAAAUGUAAGUAAUGUUUUAUUCAGACUUCCAAAUUCAAGUAAUUUAGCAAAAGGUUCAAACAUCUGCUUCCAAAGCAAGCUUAGCAAAAGUUAGACAAGAAAAUUGUUUCUCCAUCCUCACUCAGAUAACAUGUAAAUGUACAGAGCUUGCUGGAAAUGAACUGGAAGGCUCCUAGGUUUCCAGUAAGUCACAAAUAAGCAAACAGCCUGAGAAGAGUCAAUGGAAUUUGUAGAUCUAAAACAGCACCUUAGGGAGAAAGCUCAGCCCCACAUUUUACAAACAGGAAAAAUGAAUGGAGAAAGGUUAAGCACCUGCCCAGCGGCAGCUUGCAGGCCCCUGGCGGAGUCGGGCUCGGAGCCUGGAGCUCCACACCUUCUGAGGGCCGUCCUUUUCCAAGGAUCUUCUCCUGGUUGACUGCUGUCCCUUCCAGAGCUCCCAAUAAACUGUUUGGGGUAAAUUAAUCUAUCUUUAUUUGAAGUGAAGUCAUUGACAAAAACGUAAAUCAUUAAGACAUAUUGUAAUUUAUGAUCCCCAAACCCAUCAACACUCAUAGGCAGAUAAACCUGGAGAUUUCCACAUACAGAUUUCUAAAGUGCCGUAUGUGUGAAGCCAUUGUUGAAACAGUUCUAGUGAGAUGUCGUUUUUAUAAUACGCAAUUCACUUAAAGCGUUCAAUUCAGUGACUUUUAGUAUAUUGACAGAGUCGUGCAUCCAUCACCACAAUCAAUUUCAGAAUAUUUAUUACCCAAAAGAAGCCCUAAGCCCCUCAGCCAUCACCUCCAUUCAAACCUCCUUUCCACCUAGCCCCCAGCCCUGGGCACCCACUACCCCCAUCCCCAUCGACUUGCCUCUUCAGGACAUUUUGUAUAAAUGGGAACAUACAAUAUAUGUGGCCUUUGUAACUGAUCCAAGUCAUUUUUUAAAGACCUAAAACAAGCAUUUAUUCAAAUCUAUAUUCUUUUUUAUUUUUCAGUAAUCUAGCUGACUUUUCAGUGAGUUCAAACUUCAUGUUUCCCAGUUUUGAAGAUGUGGUUGUAAUGUUGUCCUCGGGAGCGGAUAAACGUUUGGCUGUACUGGAAGGUGCUCUCUGAAAAGAAAUGAACUGUUCCACAGCCAUUGUGUAUGCUUUUGUGACCCCUGCUGGCAGGAUGUAAUAGUGUGCUUUCAAAAUCAGUUCCUUGAAAUGCUUUUCCUAUCUUAAAUUUUAAAAUAAUGAAUAGAGCACGUGACUAUUAAUGGGUAUAAAAUGUAAUUAAAGUUGGUUGCUAUGUGUAUGUAUCCUGUUCUUUUCCUAGAAAUUAUAAAGCUGCAGGCUGUUCCUAAAGCUGUUGUUAAAACCCUGUCCAAAGUGCUACUUACUUAACACUUUCCAUUUUUCACAAGGAAAAUGCUUAAUCUGAUAGCAUUUCAUCUCAAUCCUAACAAAACCAUAAAAUCUGAAAGCUGUUUUAUUACUGUUUAGAAGAAUAAAAUGCAUGAGAUGAAGAUUUUAUUAAAACAAUGUGUGAAGGCUACUAAGAGAAAAAAGAAAUAUAAAAAUACAAAACAUGUAUAAAUAACAAUAAAGUCCCUCUGAGGCUUAGAGGCUUGUGAAAAUUAUUUUUAGUACAAUUAUUUAACAUAUCUAUUGCUCUUUGAGUAUUUCUCAAUUUUAAA